CCUCCGUUCUUCCGCCGUCUUUACUUUUCUUCCCUUUUUUUCCCCCUUCCCGCGCAACGCCUCGUGAACGAAGAAGUUAUUCGUAAUGUAAAGUUCUUUUAACAGGGAAGAAAGAGAAAUUUGACGGUACCUGAAGAAUAAGCUCCGGCUAACUCCGUGCCAGCAGCCGCGGUAAUACGUAGGGAGCGAGCGUUAUCCGGAAUUAUUGGGCGUAAAGGGUGCGUAGAUGGCAUAGUAAGUCUUUUGUAAAAAUGCUGGGCUCAACCCAGUAGGGCAAAAGAUACUGCAAAGCUAGAGUAUGACAGAGGCAAGUGGAACUACAUGUGUAGCGGUAAAAUGCGUAAAUAUAUGUAAGAACACCAGUGGCGAAGGCGGCUUGCUGGGUCGAUACUGACACUGAGGCACGAAAGCGUGGGGAGCAAACAGGAUUAGAUACCCCGGUAGUC
rnacentral:rRNA from 1 species